GGGGCCACUGGAUCUUGGACUGUGGACCACUCAACUGCGAACCAACCAAACCUUCUUCCCUCCUAAGAUGGAUCCUCUUUGGUGAUCCUUAAGGUUCCAUUAACCUCUGGUGUGGACACUGAUAAAUUUCUUUAUCUGUGACAAAGUACUCUGUGUGGACACUGAUUGCCUACCAAAUGUCCAUUGCCUCCCCGUCGCCACAUACUUAAGCGGAAACGGGUGUCACACCAUUGUCAUCGGAGGGCUGAUACCCUUCCGGAACCUUCUUAGGCCCAGACUGCACUCUACAUCACCCAAGCUUCAUGGGUGAUCAACUGUGGUUUUUCUGACAUUCUACAACUGGUCUACUAUUCUGCAAUUGGUCACUGUAACAGUAUUUUCUAGAACGUUUGUUUUGAUGCCAUUUGUGGUUUCUUUAUAUUUCCUGCCAAACUGUCAACUCAGGGUCUCUCCAGAUGCCAACAUCUGGUAUUCAAUUGGACAUCUGGAUGAUCUUCCAAAGAAAUGAUUGCUGAGAGCCAGGGAAUUUCUUCUGUUCCCGCUUUCCCUCUGUUCAAUCCUACUGAGUUCUCCAAAUGAUCUCUCUAUCAACAUGUGCCUUCCCAUGUGUUCAGAAUAUUCUGUGUAGAAGAUGCCUAACAUUGGCAUCAAGCCGGAAGUUGGUUGGAAAAUAAUGUGUUCUGCUGUUGUGUUAUUCUCUUUUAUUUUGCUGUUUAAAAUAAUCUCAAGAAAUCGCAAUCAACCCCCCUAAUAGGCACAGGAUGCAUAAAUGAAUUCAGUUUUCCCCUUAUUAUAAUAUUGUUGGUAUUGUCAACGUACAAUGAAAUCUCUGAGACGCCAGACAUAUGGCCCCCAGAUGAUGUCUGAGCCAGGGCCUUGAGGGAGUGUGAGGACGCUUCGACCAAGUGCAGGGUGUAUGAUCCAGCUGCAGCCUGCAAAUAUGUGCCCGGGCAGGCUGGGGAAGGACACGAGCCCUGGACUUGCCUCCUAGUGCUCCUCUUGCAAUGGUGGCAACCUCCAUUCCUCUUCCGGAGAAGCAGCAAGCCAUGGUUCCCAGAUGCACAGCUGGCCUGGUCCAAGGAGAAGCACAUGGC